CCUACACGACCGUACCGCAAACCGACACUGGUGCGCGAGAUGAGUAUUCUAAGGCGCUUGAGAGAACUCGGGAGAAGGAACUCGGCAAAUUGACACCGUAACUUCGGAAGAAGGUGUGCCUUUAGUAGGUGAAGGGAUUUACUCCUGGAGCCCAAUGAGGUUGCAAAAAAUCGGUGGCUGCGACUGUUUAUUAAAAACACAGCACUCUGCAAACACGAAAGUGGACGUAUAGGGUGUGACGCCUGCCCGGUGCUGGAAGAUUAAAUGAUGGGGUGCAAGCUCUUGAUUGAAGUCCCAGUAAACGGCGGCCGUAACAAUAACGGUCCUAAGGUAGCGAAAUUCCUUGUCGGGUAAGUUCCGACCUGCACGAAUGGCGUAACGAUGGCCACACUGUCUCCUCCCGAGACUCAGCGAAGUUGAAAUGUUUGUGAUGAUGCAAUCUCCCCGCGGAAAGACGGAAAGACCCCAUGAACCUUUACUGUAGCUUUGUAUUGGACUUUGAACAGAUCUGUGUAGGAUAGGUGGGAGGCUUUGAAGCGGUGCCGCUAGGUAUCGUGGAGCCAACGUUGAGAUACCACCCUGGUGUGUUUGAGGUUCUAACCUUGGUCCAUUAUCUGGAUCGGGGACAGUGCAUGGUAGGCAGUUUGACUGGGGCGGUCUCCUCCCAAAGCGUAACGGAGGAGUUCGAAGGUACGCUAGUUACGGUCGGACAUCGUGACGAUAGUGCAAUGGCAUAAGCGUGCUUAACUGCGAGACUGACAAGUCGAGCAGAUGCGAAAGCAGGACAUAGUGAUCCGGUGGUUCUGUAUGGAAGGGCCAUCGCUCAACGGAUAAAAGGUACUCUGGGGAUAACAGGCUGAUACCGCCCAAGAGUUCAUAUCGACGGCGGUGUUUGGCACCUCGAUGUCGGCUCAUCUCAUCCUGGGGCUGUAGCCGGUCCCAAGGGUAUGGCUGUUCGCCAUUUAAAGAGGUACGUGAGCUGGGUUUAAAACGUCGUGAGACAGUUUGGUCCCUAUCUUCCGUGGGCGCUGCAGAUUUGAGGAAGCCUGCUCCUAGUACGAGAGGACCGGAGUGGACACACCUCUGGUGUAUCGGUUGUCACGCCAGUGGCAUUGCCGAGUAGCUAAGUGUGGAAGAGAUAACCGCUGAAAGCAUCUAAGCGGGAAACUCGUUUCAAGAUGAGAUCUGCCGGGGCCUUGAGCCCCCUAAAGAGUCGUUCAAGACCAGGACGUUGAUAGGUCAGGUGUGGAAGCGCAGCAAUGCGUUAAGCUAACUGAUACUAAUUGCUCGUGCGGCUUGAC
rnacentral:rRNA from 1 species